UCAAUAAGCGGAGGAAAAGAAACCAACAGGGAUUGCCCUAGUAACGGCGAGUGAAGCGGCAACAGCUCAAAUUUGAAAUCUGGCGCAAGCCCGAGUUGUAAUUUGCAGAGGAUGCUUCUGGGCAGCGGCCGUUCUAAGUCUCUUGGAACAGGGCGUCAUAGAGGGUGAGAAUCCCGUAUGUGACCGGCGCGCACCCUCCACGUAGCUCCUUCGACGAGUCGAGUUGUUUGGGAAUGCAGCUCUAAAUGGGAGGUAAAUUCCUUCUAAAGCUAAAUACCGGCCAGAGACCGAUAGCGCACAAGUAGAGUGAUCGAAAGAUGAAAAGCACUUUGGAAAGAGAGUUAAAAAGCACGUGAAAUUGUUGAAAGGGAAGCGCUCGCAACCAGACUCCGCGGCGGUGUUCCGCCGGUCUUCUGACCGGUCCACUCGCCGCCGCGGGGCCAACAUCGUCUGGGGCCGCCGGAUAAGACCGUGGGAAUGUGGCUCCUCGGAGUGUUAUAGCCCGCGGUGAUACGGCGCGCGCCGGGCGAGGUCCGCGCUUCGGCAAGGAUGUUGGCGUAAUGGUUGCCAGCGGCCCGUCUUGAAACACGGACCAAGGAGUCUAACAUCUAUGCGAGUGUUCGGGUGUCAAACCCCUACGCGUAAUGAAAGUGAACGGAGGUGGGAGCUUCGGCGCACCAUCGACCGAUCCUGAUGUCCUCGGAUGGAUUUGAGUAAGAGCAUAGCUGUUGGGACCCGAAAGAUGGUGAACUAUGCCUGAAUAGGGUGAAGCCAGAGGAAACUCUGGUGGAGGCUCGCAGCGGUUCUGACGUGCAAAUCGAUCGUCAAAUUUGGGUAUAGGGGCGAAAGACUAAUCGAACCAUUGAAAGGAACAGACAGUUGCUAGGUGNUUAAGAGGAGCCUCAAAGUGGGCCUCCUAGUGCGCCCNCNAGGGCGCGCGAGACCGUCAAAUUGCCGGGGACCCCCUAAAGCCCUCCACUACCGCGGGCNCGCCGAAAGGCAGGGGGGCAGCACCAGGUUAAUCGCCUCCGGGAUGGUAAACCGUGGAGGGAUGGCAGACCAUGGGCCAACCUGCACCCAGUCCUACCGUCGUCUUUCAUGAGGCGACCACGGAUGCCAUUUCAAAAACCUCUAUGG
rnacentral:rRNA from 1 species